rnacentral:rRNA from 1 species
CCUACGGGAGGCAGCAGUGGGGAAUUUUGGACAAUGGGCGAAAGCCUGAUCCAGCAAUGCCGCGUGAGUGAAGAAGGCCUUCGGGUUGUAAAGCUCUUUUGUCAGGGAAGAAACGGUGAAAGCUAAUAUCUUUUGCUAAUGACGGUACCUGAAGAAUAAGCACCGGCUAACUACGUGCCAGCAGCCGCGGUAAUACGUAGGGUGCAAGCGUUAAUCGGAAUUACUGGGCGUAAAGCGUGCGCAGGCGGUUUUGUAAGUCUGAUGUGAAAUCCCCGGGCUCAACCUGGGAAUUGCAUUGGAGACUGCAAGGCUAGAAUCUGGCAGAGGGGGGUAGAAUUCCACGUGUAGCAGUGAAAUGCGUAGAUAUGUGGAGGAACACCGAUGGCGAAGGCAGCCCCCUGGGUCAAGAUUGACGCUCAUGCACGAAAGCGUGGGGAGCAAACAGGAUUAGAUACCCUGGUAGUCCACGCCCUAAACGAUGUCUACUAGUUGUCGGGUCUUAAUUGACUUGGUAACGCAGCUAACGCGUGAAGUAGACCGCCUGGGGAGUACGGUCGCAAGAUUAAAACUCAAAAGGAAUUGACGG